rnacentral:rRNA from 1 species
GACGAACGCUGGCGGCGUGCUUAACACAUGCAAGUCGAACGGUGAAGGGACCGGUUUUUGCUGGUUCUGGAUGAGUGGCGAACGGGUGAGUAACACGUGAGUAACCUGCCCCCUUCUUCUGGAUAACCGCAUGAAAGUGUGGCUAAUACGGGAUAUUCUGCGCCUGCUUCAUGGUGGGUGUGGGAACGGUAUUGUUUCGGUGGGGGGUGGGCUCGCGGCCUAUCAGCUUGUUGGGGGGGUGAUGGCCUACCCAGGCGGUGACGGGUAGCCGGCCUGAGAGGGUGGACGGUCACAGGGGGGCGGAGACACGGACCAGACUCCGACGGGAGGCAGCAGGGGGGAAUAUUGCACAAUGGGCGCAAGCCUGAUGCAGCGACGCCGCGGGAGGGAUGGAGGCCGUCGGGUUGUAAACCUCUUUCGCCAGUGAAGCAGGCCUGUCGCUUGUGUGGGUGGGUUGACGGUAGCUGGAUAAGAAGCGCCGGCUAACUACGUG